GGCACUACGGUGCUGAAGCAACAAAUGCCCUGCUUCCAGGAAAAGCCUCUAAGCAUCAGGUAACAUCAAAUCGUACCCCAAACCGACACAGGUGGUCAGGUAGAGAAUACCAAGGCGCUUGAGAGAACUCGGGUGAAGGAACUAGGCAAAAUGGUGCCGUAACUUCGGGAGAAGGCACGCUGAUAUGUAGGUGAAGUCCCUCGCGGAUGGA
rnacentral:rRNA from 1 species